rnacentral:rRNA from 1 species
GGGGGGGGGGGGGGGGGGGGGGGGGGGGGGGGGGGGGGGGGGGGGGGCGGGGCGUGGGGGGGGGGCUCGGGGGGCGAGCGGGUGAGUAACACGUGAGUAACCUGCCCUGGACUUGGGGAUGACUUCAGGAAACUGGGGCUAAUCCCGGAUAGGAGCUCCUGCUGCAUGGUGGGGGUUGGACCGUUUCGGCGGUUGGGGAGGGACUCGCGGCUUAUCAGCUUGUGGGUGGGGUAGUGGCUUACCAAGGCUUUGACGGGUAGCCGGCCUGAGAGGGUGACCGGCCACAUUGGGACUGAGAUACGGCCCAGACUCCUACGUGAGGCAGCAGUGGGGAAUAUUGCACAAUGGGCGGAAGCCUGAUGCAGCAACGCCGCGUGCGGGAUGACGGCCUUCGGGUUGUAAACCGCUUUCGCCGGUGACGAAGCGUGAGUGACGGUAAUGGGUAAAGAAGCACCGGCUAACUACGUG